GCGACCCCAGGUCAGGCGAGACUACCCGCUGAGUUUAA
rnacentral:rRNA from 1 species